CUGUAGGUUGGGGACUCGCCCAUAAAGAAAGGCCCAUCACAUGAUGAUAGCUUCGCGCCUCUUUCGUAAACCUUUUCGACCCUGUAGAGAUUUCCAGCAGUAUAUCAGAGGAAAUGUUCCGAUUGCAGAAGCCGGCCACGGAAGAUUUCUGUAAAUUCUGCAAUUCAAUUCGGUGAAGAGCUUAACCUGUGGGCAAUCCUGACUCCUUCGAAUAGGCCUAAAUGCAUCGUCUUGCUGUUUUCUUUAAAACUUUCUUUAAAAAAGUUCAUUUUCUUCAUCCCUCUGAAGACUGAAUUGUGAGGAUUCACCUUGCAGCAGACCUCCUCAUAAGGUGCAUCUAGUGUAGUCAGUGAAAUAGCCUAGAAUCUACUGCGCUAGGUGCUCCUUCUGGCAGGAGGUACUGCACUCUCCUCGGGCGUGACGCUCCGUACCUCCCCUGUAGGUACGGCUCUCAUGCGGCUAUCCCCACAGACAUCAUUUCAAACCAUUCUUCAAUAGCCGUGCAGGUGUAGUUAUUAUCCUGGGUUUGCCUGGGUACCCUGUUCCAGACGUGGCAUUGAGUUUCUGUGCAUGUCUGAAAGGUUUACCAGCUCUAGAAAAAUCUGUGCUGUGAACAGGGAUAAGAAUUUUUAUUUUUUUAAAUUUAUUUUAUUUUGCUAAUGUAUUAAAUUGCAUGAAUCUGAAUAACCAAAAGUAUUUGUACUAUUGUUAGUUUGGCAGGGAGAAAGUACUAAAGUGUUCCACCUGUGGCAGCCUGUGACUCAUCCUGUGCAGAGUACAUUUUCCCUGCAGUUAAACUGUUCCAGUGUAGUUUGCAACCACUGGUUCUGGUCCUUGGUGCGAGGCACUACCUGUAGGUUUAUCCUAGUCCUCAGGAAAACAUGCAAGUUUAAGUUUGUACGUUUAUUUAAUAUAAAUAGCCCUUCUGCUUAAAAGCAAGUAGCUGUUGUUACUGUGGGAGUACUGAGGCUAGCAGCAGACCUGGUAGUUGAUCUUUGAAGCUUGGAUGAUGUUCCAGACCUAAGGAGUGAGUGAUUGGGAGUAAAUUGUCCACCCUGUGAAAGACCCUUUAGUUGUAGUCUGUGCAGUUCCAAAGUGCUCACAGUGCAGGUAGUACUGUUUGCUCUACUGCAGUGUGUGCACUUGCAGUAUUGCCAGGCCCUCUCCCCUGAACCCCAUCAGAUCCCCGCCUUUCCCCUGCUGUCUUACACACUCAGGUUCACAGCGAGUUUUGCAGGAUUGCAUCCAGUUUGAAAAUCCCUGCUGUGCAAAUCCAUGCAAAACUCGUCGUGCCCGGGACUCCGCUGCUGGAAAGAAGUGACGUUUUGGAAAAUGCAAAAAAAAGAAGAAAAAAUAAUUAUAUGUAUGUAUCAGAUAUGCAAUCAUUGUCAAUGUUACUGUCAAGUAAAAAGGUGCCAUUCUUUUGCCCACUGCUUAGAGAACUGUGUGAGACCUCGUGUUUGGGUGGGUGUAUGCUGGGAUGUUGAAAUGUUUGUCUCGCUGUUUCCGGGUGGAUGACUUUGCAAUUUUAAUGAUUCGUGAAAACCUCCAAAAAAUUGCACGGUAUCCAUCUGUAAUCCGCCAGAUGUUCUGAUCUGCAGGGGUUUCUUUUUGUAAUUCAUCUUCCCUCUGCCUCUGCUGUUCUUCACUUUUAGAUAAAUGUGCUUGUUUAAAAUAAAUUGUGAUUCUUUGC